rnacentral:rRNA from 1 species
GAGUUUGAUCCUGGCUCAGAACGAACGCUGGCGGCAGGCCUAACACAUGCAAGUCGAGCGCUACCUUCGGGUGGAGCGGCGGACGGGUUAGUAACGCGUGGGAAUAUACCCUUCACUAUGGAAUAGCCUCGGGAAACUGAGAGUAAUACCAUAUACGCCCUUCGGGGGAAAGAUUUAUCGGUGAAGGAUUAGCCCGCGUAAGAUUAGAUAGUUGGUGGGGUAAUGGCCUACCAAGUCUACGAUCUUUAGCUGGUUUUAGAGGAUGAUCAGCAACACUGGGACUGAGACACGGCCCAGACUCCUACGGGAGGCAGCAGUGGGGAAUCUUAGACAAUGGGCGCAAGCCUGAUCUAGCCAUGCCGCGUGAGUGAUGAAGGUCUUAGGAUCGUAAAGCUCUUUCGCUAGGGAUGAUAAUGACAGUACCUAGUAAAGAAGCCCCGGCUAACUCCGUGCCAGCAGCCGCGGUAAUACGGAGGGGGCUAGCGUUGUUCGGAAUUACUGGGCGUAAAGCGUACGUAGGCGGAUCAGAAAGUAUGGGGUGAAAUCCCAGGGCUUAACCCUGGAACUGCCUCAUAAACUCCUGGUCUUGAGUUCGAGAGAGGUGAGUGGAAUUCCAAGUGUAGAGGUGAAAUUCGUAGAUAUUUGGAGGAACACCAGUGGCGAAGGCGGCUCACUGGCUCGAUACUGACGCUGAGGUACGAAAGUGUGGGGAGCAAACAGGAUUAGAUACCCUGGUAGUCCACACCGUAAACGAUGAAUGCCAGUCGUCGGGCAGUAUACUGUUCGGUGACACACCUAACGGAUUAAGCAUUCCGCCUGGGGAGUACGGUCGCAAGAUUAAACUCAAGGAAUUGACGGGGGCCC